rnacentral:rRNA from 1 species
UAAGCGACUAAGCGUACACGGUGGAUGCCCUGGCAGUCAGAGGCGAUGAAGGACGUGCUAAUCUGCGAUAAGCGUCGGUAAGGUGAUAUGAACCGUUAUAACCGGCGAUUUCCGAAUGGGGAAACCCAGUGUGUUUCGACACACUAUCAUUAACUGAAUCCAUAGGUUAAUGAGGCGAACCGGGGGAACUGAAACAUCUAAGUACCCCGAGGAAAAGAAAUCAACCGAGAUUCCCCCAGUAGCGGCGAGCGAACGGGGAGCAGCCCAGAGCCUGAAUCAGUGUGUGUGUUAGUGGAAGCGUCUGGAAAGGCGCGCGAUACAGGGUGACAGCCCCGUACACAAAAAUGCACAUACUGUGAGCUCGAUGAGUAGGGCGGGACACGUGGUAUCCUGUCUGAAUAUGGGGGGACCAUCCUCCAAGGCUAAAUACUCCUGACUGACCGAUAGUGAACCAGUACCGUGAGGGAAAGGCGAAAAGAACCCCGGCGAGGGGAGUGAAAAAGAACCUGAAACCGUGUACGUACAAGCAGUGGGAGCCACUUUUAUGGGGUGACUGCGUACCUUUUGUAUAAUGGGUCAGCGACUUAUAUUCUGUAGCAAGGUUAACCGAAUAGGGGAGCCGAAGGGAAACCGAGUCUUAACCGGGCGUUAAGUUGCAGGGUAUAGACCCGAAACCCGGUGAUCUAGCCAUGGGCAGGUUGAAGGUUGGGUAACACUAACUGGAGGACCGAACCGACUAAUGUUGAAAAAUUAGCGGAUGACUUGUGGCUGGGGGUGAAAGGCCAAUCAAACCGGGAGAUAGCUGGUUCUCCCCGAAAGCUAUUUAGGUAGCGCCUCGUGAAUUCAUCUCCGGGGGUAGAGCACUGUUUCGGCAAGGGGGUCAUCCCGACUUACCAACCCGAUGCAAACUGCGAAUACCGGAGAAUGUUAUCACGGGAGACACACGGCGGGUGCUAACGUCCGUCGUGAAGAGGGAAACAACCCAGACCGCCAGCUAAGGUCCCAAAGUCAUGGUUAAGUGGGAAACGAUGUGGGAAGGCCCAGACAGCCAGGAUGUUGGCUUAGAAGCAGCCAUCAUUUAAAGAAAGCGUAAUAGCUCACUGGUCGAGUCGGCCUGCGCGGAAGAUGUAACGGGGCUAAACCAUGCACCGAAGCUGCGGCAGCGACACUGUGUGUUGUUGGGUAGGGGAGCGUUCUGUAAGCCUGUGAAGGUGUACUGUGAGGUAUGCUGGAGGUAUCAGAAGUGCGAAUGCUGACAUAAGUAACGAUAAAGCGGGUGAAAAGCCCGCUCGCCGGAAGACCAAGGGUUCCUGUCCAACGUUAAUCGGGGCAGGGUGAGUCGACCCCUAAGGCGAGGCCGAAAGGCGUAGUCGAUGGGAAACAGGUUAAUAUUCCUGUACUUGGUGUUACUGCGAAGGGGGGACGGAGAAGGCUAUGUUGGCCGGGCGACGGUUGUCCCGGUUUAAGCGUGUAGGCUGGUUUUCCAGGCAAAUCCGGAAAAUCAAGGCUGAGGCGUGAUGACGAGGCACUACGGUGCUGAAGCAACAAAUGCCCUGCUUCCAGGAAAAGCCUCUAAGCAUCAGGUAACAUCAAAUCGUACCCCAAACCGACACAGGUGGUCAGGUAGAGAAUACCAAGGCGCUUGAGAGAACUCGGGUGAAGGAACUAGGCAAAAUGGUGCCGUAACUUCGGGAGAAGGCACGCUGAUAUGUAGGUGAAGUCCCUUGCGGAUGGAGCUGAAAUCAGUCGAAGAUACCAGCUGGCUGCAACUGUUUAUUAAAAACACAGCACUGUGCAAACACGAAAGUGGACGUAUACGGUGUGACGCCUGCCCGGUGCCGGAAGGUUAAUUGAUGGGGUCAGCGCAAGCGAAGCUCUUGAUCGAAGCCCCGGUAAACGGCGGCCGUAACUAUAACGGUCCUAAGGUAGCGAAAUUCCUUGUCGGGUAAGUUCCGACCUGCACGAAUGGCGUAAUGAUGGCCAGGCUGUCUCCACCCGAGACUCAGUGAAAUUGAACUCGCUGUGAAGAUGCAGUGUACCCGCGGCAAGACGGAAAGACCCCGUGAACCUUUACUAUAGCUUGACACUGAACAUUGAGCCUUGAUGUGUAGGAUAGGUGGGAGGCUUUGAAGUGUGGACGCCAGUCUGCAUGGAGCCGACCUUGAAAUACCACCCUUUAAUGUUUGAUGUUCUAACGUGGACCCGUGAUCCGGGUUGCGGACAGUGUCUGGUGGGUAGUUUGACUGGGGCGGUCUCCUCCUAAAGAGUAACGGAGGAGCACGAAGGUUGGCUAAUCCUGGUCGGACAUCAGGAGGUUAGUGCAAUGGCAUAAGCCAGCUUGACUGCGAGCGUGACGGCGCGAGCAGGUGCGAAAGCAGGUCAUAGUGAUCCGGUGGUUCUGAAUGGAAGGGCCAUCGCUCAACGGAUAAAAGGUACUCCGGGGAUAACAGGCUGAUACCGCCCAAGAGUUCAUAUUGACGGCGGUGUUUGGCACCUCGAUGUCGGCUCAUCACAUCCUGGGGCUGAAGUAGGUCCCAAGGGUAUGGCUGUUCGCCAUUUAAAGUGGUACGCGAGCUGGGUUUAGAACGUCGUGAGACAGUUCGGUCCCUAUCUGCUGUGGGCGCUGGAGAACUGAGGGGGGCUGCUCCUAGUACGAGAGGACCGGAGUGGACGCAUCACUGGUGUUCGGGUUGUCAUGCCAAUGGCACUGCCCGGUAGCUAAAUGCGGAAGAGAUAAGUGCUGAAAGCAUCUAAGCACGAAACUUGCCCCGAGAUGAGUUCUCCCUGACCCUUUAAGGGUCCUGAAGGAACGUUGAAGACGACGACGUUGAUAGGCCGGGUGUGUAAGCGCAGCGAUGCGUUGAGCUAACCGGUACUAAUGAACCGUGAGGCUUAACCU